rnacentral:rRNA from 1 species
AGAGACCCAAGUUGUUAGACACCGGCGUAAAGAGUGGUUAGGAAAACUCAUUCAACUAGAGCCGAACACCUUCAAAGCUGUUAUACGCACCCGAAGGUAAGAAGUCCAACUACGAAAGUGGCUUUAUGUUAACUGAACCCACGAAAGCUAGGACACAAACUGGGAUUAGAUACCCCACUAUGCCUAGCCCUAAACAUUAAUAGUACUUUACAACUGCUAUCCGCCUGGGUACUACGAGCAUCA